rnacentral:rRNA from 1 species
GGCAGCACAGGUAGCAAUACUGGGUGGCGAGUGGCGCACGNGGUGCGUAACACGUAUGCAACUUACCCUUUACCGAGACAUAACCCAUCGAAAGGUGAGCUAAUAUCUCAUAACAUUCACUAGAGGCAUCUCUUAUGAAUUAAAGUUUUAAUGGUAUAGGAUAGGCAUGCGUCCCAUUAGCUAGUUGGUAAGGUAACGGCUUACCAAGGCGACGAUGGGUAGGGGUUCUGAGAGGAAAGUCCCCCACACUGGUACUGAGACACGGACCAGACUCCUACGGGAGGCAGCAGUAAGGAAUAUUGGUCAAUGGGCGAGAGCCUGAACCAGCCAUGCCGCGUGAAGGAAGAAGGCCUUAUGGGUCGUAAACUUCUUUUAUAAGGGAAAAAACGCCGGUACGUGUACCGGCUUGCUUGUACCUUAUGAAUAAGCAUCGGCUAACUCCGUGCCAGCAGCCGCGGUAAUACGGAGGAUGCGAGCGUUAUCCGGAUUCAUUGGGUUUAAAGGGUGCGCAGGCGGACUAAUAAGUCAGUGGUGAAAUCCCAUAGCUCAACUAUGGAACUGCCAUUGAUACUGUUAGACUAGAGUAUAGAUGACGUAGGCGGAAUGCGACAUGUAGCGGUGAAAUGCUUAGAGAUGUCGCAGAACACCGAUUGCGAAGGCAGCUUACGAAACUAUAACUGACGCUCAUGCACGAAAGCGUGGGGAUCAAACAGGAUUAGAUACCCUGGUAGUCCACGCCCUAAACGAUGAUUACUCGUUGUUGGCCUGUACAGGUCAGUGGCUAAAGGAAACGAUAAGUAAUCCACCUGGGGGAGUACGAUC